CGGACGGGUGAGUAACGCGUGGGUGACCUGCCCCAUACCGGGGGAUAACAGCUGGAAACGGCUGCUAAUACCGCAUAAGCGCACAGAGCUGCAUGGCUCAGUGUGAAAAACUCCGGUGGUAUGGGAUGGGCCCGCGUCUGAUUAGGCAGUUGGCGGGGUAACGGCCCACCAAACCGACGAUCAGUAGCCGGCCUGAGAGGGCGACCGGCCACAUUGGGACUGAGACACGGCCCAA
rnacentral:rRNA from 1 species